AUGCCAACACCUCCGCCUCCUGAUUGGCAGAUGGGAAGAACGCAAUGCUCCUCCCCCCAGAACUGGCGUCCAGCCCCCAACCAAUCAGCAACGGCAUUGGUCAGCCCCAGGAUUCAUGGCCUCCCAUCUCGGCCUAUCAGCACUCUCCAGGAAGUGACGUCAGAAGCAGAGGACGAGGAGAGGGAGAUGACCCAGGACGUUACUCGAGCAGCAACGCCUCACUUCCUGUCUCCACAACCCGCACCUCGACAGCGCUCGUUCUCCUGUACCCAGCAUGCACUGAACCGCCGCUCCAGUGGCAACCAACCAGAGCUGUCCGUAGCUGUGCCAGCUGAAAAAGUAGCCAAUGAGCAUGUAGAAAUAGUGAUCGUGCCCCACCCGAGAGAAGCGGCCAGCCAAUCAGAGAGCAAAACCCCAGGGAACAGCCUCAGCGCAGCUCAGAUGGACUCUGAGAGGGAUAGUAUGAGGAACUCAUACUCUAAAAUGAGCGAGAGGGUCAGUAAUGAACCCGCCGUCACCAUCCAAAGCAGCAUGUGAGAGAAGAUAAAGAGAAAAGAAAUUAGACAACUCAAAAAUGCAUAAAUUUCUCUACUGACUGUUAAAAUUAUAUAAAAAAAUAUCAUUGGCAGAAUCUCAGGAAAACUCCCUCGCCCCAAAAUCAAAAGCAAUUCAAAUUUGCAUGAAGGAAAUUCUUUUUGCAUUUCAGUUUGCAUUUUGACAUUAUUUUCAGGACAAUAAAGCAUAUUUUUCUCCUUAAUUAUUCCCUCAUAAGCGUUAUAUGUUUGGAUGUUUUGCUUUAUUGUAUUUAGGGUUUACUUUAUUCUAAUACAACACAAAAUAUACAAAUAAAAAAAAGACUUAAUCACUACAACUUUAUUCUAAUACAACACAAAAUAAUACAAUAAAAAAAAAGACUUAUCACUACAGCAGUGAGAAUUUGAUUGUUUUUUAACUUAAAGUAACAGGAAAUAGUUCAUGAAAAUAGUGACAUCAUAUAAUAUUUAUAUUACAAUAUAAUGAAACCUUGAUGCAGAAAUUAUUUUUCUGUGAAAAUUAUAUAUAUAUAUAGUAUCAUAAAAUCUUAAUUAAAUAAAAAAAAAUUUAUGUAAGAAAAAAAAAAUCCUUUUUUUUUGGAGAGUUGAGAAUUAGAUUUUUUGCACUACAGUAAUAGGAAUUUUCAUGAAAAUUAUGACAUCAUAAUAUUUAUAUUACAUUAUCAUAAUGAAACCUUAAUGAUGCAAAAAUAGGCUUUUAUGUAAAAAAAAUUAUAAUCAUAAAAUCUUAAACUCAAAAUUGGAUUAAUUUUCUCCUAGAAAAAAUCCCUAUUUCUUUGGUUUAGUUGAAAUAUAAUUUAGACAUGCUCUUGACAGAAUUUAUGAAAUUCAUCCUGUUAUAUUUUAUUUAGUGCUGUCAAACAAUUAAUCACAUCCAAAAUACGUUUUGUGUACGAUGUAUAUUAUGUAUAUAUAUAAAUACAUACACAUCCAUGUAUAUAUUCAAUAAAAAUGUUGUUUAUAUAUAUAUAUAUAAAUAUAUAUAUAUAUAUAUAUAUAUAUAUAUAUAUACAUACACACACACAUAGUAACAACGUAAUUAAUUUUACAGAAUUUUCUAGCAGCAUUACUCCAGUCUUCAGUGUCACAUGAUCCUUCAAACCAUUCUAAUAUACUGAUUUAUUAUCAAUGCUGGGAACAGUUUUGCUGCUUACUAUUUAUUUGGAACCUGUGAUUCUUUUUUCAGGAUUCUUUGAUGAAUAGAAAAGGUUCAAAAGAACAGCAUUUAUUCAAAAUAGAAAUCUUUAUUAACAAUACACGUCUUUAUUAUGACUUUUUAUCAAUUUAACACAUCCUUGCUGAAUAAAAAAAGGAAAGAAAGAAAAAAAAUGACUGGUAGUGUAUAUUGUUACAUUGUUUCAUGGCAACAGUGUUUCCUGAAGGCAGUGGCCUCUUUCAGCAGGAUAAUGCACCUGCCACACACACUGCAGGAAUUGUUCAGGAAUGGUUUGAGGAGCAUGACAAAGCAUUCAAGGUGUUGUCUUGGCCUCCAAAUUCUCCAGAUCUCUAAGGCAUCAAAUCCAAUCCAUGGAGCCCCCACCUCACAACCUGCUGGACCCCAUCCUCAAUGCUUCAGAGCUGUUUUGGCAGUACGAAGGGCACCUACACAAAAUUAGGAAGGUGGUUUUAAUGUUGCGGCUAUUUGUUUAGUUCACUGGCACUGUAUAAAUUUAAAAUAAAAUCUCCAGCAAUGUGUGCAAGCCAAGUUUGAAUAAUACAGAAAACAGCUGCCAUAAUGAAAACGGUCUGACAAGAACAUUCUUCCUGACCCGAGAACAUACGGCCUGUGGAAAACAGCUAAAUUACUUUUUCAGGGUUUUUAACCCAAGCCAUUUAAUCCCACAAAGUUUAGAGAGUCAUUGUGGAGAGCAGAGCAAAAUGAGACGUCUCUAAAUCACUGCAAUCCCUCGUCCCUCAGCUCUGAUCCCAGCCGCUAUUAGUUGGCCCCUCGGAGACAACGGCACCAGCCGUACGGGGCUAUUACGGAUGACCACACAUGCAUCACAAAUGAAAAUACCAAAAUCCAAUAAAUCCUCACAUAUGGGUGAGGGGUGAAUACAUUUACAAUGUGUCAAACUAACGGAUUUCACAUAAGUAAUAAGAGUCUAUGGAUAUAUAAGAGCUAUUUUUUUUGCCAAAGUGACUGGUUUCUUUCAAUUGAAGACUGAAAAUCGAAAUACUGUUUUGUAAAAAAAACAUCUUUAUGA
rnacentral:lncRNA from 1 species